rnacentral:rRNA from 1 species
AGUGAACGCUGGCGGUAUGCCUAACACAUGCAAGUCGAACGGCAGCACAGUAAUAGCUUGCUCUUACGGGUUGCGAGUCGCGUACGUGUGAGGAAUACAUCGUAAUCUACUUUUUCGUGUGAGUUAACGUAGGUAAACUUACUCUAAUACCGCAGACGACCUACGGUUGAGAGCAUUGGAUCGUCUGAGCUUGCGCGGUUGAAUGAGCCGCUGUCGGGUUAGCUAGUUGGCGGGGUAAAGGCCCACCAAGGCGACGAUCCGUAGCUGGUCAGAGAGGAUGGUCAGCCACACUGGAACUUAGACACGGUCCAGACUACUACGGGACGCCGCAGUCGGGAAUAGUGGACAAAGGGGGGAAGUAUGAUACAGUGAGAGCGAGUGGGUGAAGAAGGCGUCGGGGUUGUAAAGACCUUCUGUGGGGAAAGAACAGCAGCCGGCUAAUACCAAGCUGGUGUGACGGUAAUCAAAGAAUAAGCACCGGCUAACUUCGUG